AAUAUUGGACAAUGGGGGCAACCCUGAUCCAGCCAUGCCGCGUGUGUGAAGAAGGUCUUCGGAUUGUAAAGCACUUUAGGUUGGGGGGAAGGGCAGUAAGUUAUUACCUUGCUGUUUUGACUUUACCGCCAGAUUAAGAACCGGCUAAUUUCUUGCUGCCAGCCGCGGUAAUACGAAGGGUGCAAGCGUUAAUCGGAAUUACUGGGCGUAAAGCGCGCGUAGGUGGUUUGUUAAGUUGGAAGUGAAAGCCCCGGGCUCAACCUUGGAACUGCUUUCAUAACUGCUGAGCUAGAGUACGGUAGAGGGUAGUGGAAUUUCCUGUGUAGCGGUGAAAUGCGUAGAUAUAGGAAGGAACACCAGUGGCGAAGGCGACUACCUGGACUGAUACUGACACUGAGGUGCGAAAGCGUGGGGAGCAAAC
rnacentral:rRNA from 1 species